CAACUACAUUAACAUUGAGUACUUAGAGGCAAAUACGUAAUUCUUAUGAUUAUGGAUGAUGUUCAUUCUAAAAUUAAUAUUUUCAUUUUUCCUUUCGUAUUCGUUUCAAAAUUGACAAAAACCUUCUUUCCAAUGCGAAAACAUAAGUUAAUGUUCAUCAAAAUUCGUUUCCUAUGCCAAGUUCCAUGUUAGGUUGGCAGAAAUUUCACACAUAAAUUACCGGUUAUUUUAAUAAAGUGCAGUUGCUUUAUAACUUAUAUUAAUAAGUUAAAACUGUCAAGUUGAAAAUCUGCCCUUUUGAAUAAAAAGAUAGAUUAAUAUGUUUGCAUUUGUUAUUAGAAAAACAAGUUGUAUUUUUAUCACAA
rnacentral:lncRNA from 1 species